rnacentral:rRNA from 1 species
AUUGAACGCUGGCGGAAUGCUUUACACAUGCAAGUCGAACGGCAGCACGGACUUCGGUCUGGUGGCGAGUGGCGAACGGGUGAGUAAUGUAUCGGAACGUGCCCAGUCGUGGGGGAUAACGUAGUGAAAAUUACGCUAAUACCGCAUACGAUCUAUGGAUGAAAGCGGGGGAUCGCAAGACCUCGCGCGAUUGGAGCGGCCGAUAUCAGAUUAGGUAGUUGGUGGGGUAAAGGCCCACCAAGCCAACGAUCUGUAGCUGGUCUGAGAGGACGACCAGCCACACUGGAACUGAGACACGGUCCAGACUCCUACGGGAGGCAGCAGUGGGGAAUUUUGGACAAUGGGCGAAAGCCUGAUCCAGCCAUUCCGCGUGCAGGAUGGAGGCCCUCGGGUUGUAAACUGCUUUUGUACAGAACGAAAAGGUUUCUACUAAUACUAGGAGCUCAUGACGGUACUGUAAGAAUAAGCACCGGCUAACUACGUGCCAGCAGCAGCCGCAG